UAAGCAAGAUCGAUAGUUAAUCCCUGUUUUUCUGAUGAUUCUGAAAAAAUCACAGUCGAAAGUGCACAUAUUUUAAAAGGAAAGAUGGAAAACGACAUGAAAAAAUAAAUUAAUGGGAGCAAAAGAAGACGAAGAAGAAAGGAGCCGCAA
ensembl:ncRNA F29G9.15 ncRNA